rnacentral:rRNA from 1 species
ACGGCUCAGUAACACGUGGAUAACAUGCCCUAAGGUGGGGGAUAAUCUCGGGAAACUGAGGAUAAUACCCCAUAGAUCUAUUAUGCUGGAAUGCUUUUAGGUCGAAAGGCAACGCCUUUGGAUGGGUCUGCGGCGGAUUAGGUUGACGCCGGUGUAACGUACCGGCGUGCCUGUAAUCCGUACGGGUUGUGGGAGCAAGAGCCCGGAGAUGGAUUCUGAGACACGAAUCCAGGCCCUACGGGGCGCAGCAGGCGCGAAAACUCUACAAUGCAGGCAACUGCGAUAGGGGGACAUCGAGUGGCAUCCACCUUGGGUGCCUGUCCAACCGUCUAAAAAACGGUUGUUAGCAAGGGCCGGGUAAGACCGGUGCCAGCCGCCGCGGUAAUACCGGCGGCUCGAGUGGUGGCCGAUAUUAUUGAGUCUAAAGGGUCCGUAGCCGGCUUUGCAAGUCCCCUGGGAAAUCCAGCGGCUUAACCGUUGGGCUUUCAUGGGAUACUACAUUGCUUGGGACUGGGAGAGGUAGGAGGUACUCGGGGGGUAGGGGUGAAAUCCUGUAAUCCUCCGGGGACCACCGGUGGCGAAGGCGUCCUACCAGAACAGGUCCGACGGUGAGGGACGAAAGCUAGGGGAACGAACCGGAUUAGAUACCCGGGUAGUCCUAGCCGUAAACGAUGCCCGCUAGGUGUCACGACGGUCGUGAAUCGUCGUGGUGCCGUAGGGAAGCCGCGAAGCGGGCCACUUGGGAAGUACGGCCGCAAGGAUGAAACUUAAAGGAAUUGGCGGGGGAGCAC